ACCCGGAGGCGCAAUGAAAGUGAAGGCCGGCCUCGCGCCGGCUCAGGUGGGAUCCCGGGGCGAGAGAUCGCGACGGGCGCACCACCGGCUCGUCUCGGCCGCUGCGUCGGCGAGGCGAAGCAAGAGCGUACUUGUUGGGACCCGAAAGAUGGUGAACUAUGCCUGAGUAGGACGAAGCCAGAGGAAACUCUGGUGGAGGUCCGCAGCGAUUCUGACGUGCAAAUCGAUCGUCAAACUUGGGUAUAGGGGCGAAAGACUAAUCGAACCAUCUAGUAGCUGUUCCUUCCGAA
rnacentral:rRNA from 1 species